rnacentral:misc_RNA from 1 species
GGGAAGCAGAAAAGAGGGGAAGGAAAAGGGAAAGAGAGGGAAUUCCGGAGAGUAUGCCUGUUUGAGGGUCAGUAUAAUCAAAAUCGGAGCGAUGCCUUUUGGGUGACGCACCGGAGUUUGGGUCAUCUUAACUCCUUUUUUUAAGAGACCUAAAAUUAACAUUCUUUUUUGCUCACUUUUGAGACGUACAUAAUUUUUUUUUAUUCGUCUACCCUGGUGGCAAAAAUUUUAUAACAUCGUGAACCACGUAGAGUGGACUCGCUGGACGACU